rnacentral:rRNA from 1 species
CAGUAGCCGCGGGAAAACGGAGGGUGCAAGCGUUAAUCGGAAUUACUGGGCGUAAAGCGUGCGUAGGCGGUUCGUUAAGUCUGUUGUGAAAGCCCCGGGCUCAACCUGGGAAUGGCAAUGGAUACUGGCGAGCUAGAGUGUGUCAGAGGAUGGUGGAAUUCCCGGUGUAGCGGUGAAAUGCGUAGAGAUCGGGAGGAACAUCAGUGGCGAAGGCGGCCAUCUGGGACAACACUGACGCUGAGGCACGAAAGCGUGGGGAGCAAACAGGAUUAGAUACCCGCGUAGUCCCUGUCUCUUAUAC